rnacentral:rRNA from 1 species
UACGGGGGGGGCAAGCGUUGUUCGGAAUUACUGGGCGUAAAGGGCGCGUAGGCGGCCUGUUAAGUCGAACGUGAAAUCCCCGGGCUCAACCCGGGAACUGCGUCCGAUACUGGCAGGCUUGAAUCCGGGAGAGGGAUGCGGAAUUCCAGGUGUAGAGGUGAAAUGCGUAGAUAUCUGGAGGAACACCGGUGGCGAAGGCGGCAUCCUGGACCGGUAUUGACGCUGAUGCGCGAAAGCCAGGGGAGCAAACGGG